rnacentral:rRNA from 1 species
GACGAACGCUGGCGGCGUGCCUAAUACAUGCAAGUCGAGCGAGCGGCGGACGGGUGAGUAACACGUAAGGAACCUACCGAUAAGCGUGGGACAACAUCCGGAAACGGGUGCUAAUACCGCAUACUUAUCGCUGUCCUUGCGGUGCAUUAGCUCGUUGGUGGGGUAACGGCCUACCAAGGCAAUGAUGCAUAGCCGACCUGAGAGGGUAAGCGGCCAGAUUGGGACUGAGACACGGCCCAAACUCCUACGGGAGGCAGCAGGAGGGAAUCGUACGCAAUGGGCGCAAGCCUGACGGAGCAACGCCGCGUGAGUGAAGAAGGUUUUCGGAUCGUAAAGCUCGGUUGUAAGAGAAGCGGUAUCUUACCAGAAAGCCACGGCUAACUACGUGCCAGCAGCCGCGGUAAUAC